rnacentral:rRNA from 1 species
UACGUAGGGUCCGAGCGUUGUCCGGAAUUAUUGGGCGUAAAGGGCUCGUAGGCGGUCCGUCACGUCGGGAGUGAAAACUCAGGGCUUAACCCUGAGCGUGCUUCCGAUACGGGCGGACUAGAGGUAUGCAGGGGAGAACGGAAUUCCUGGUGUAGCGGUGGAAUGCGCAGAUAUCAGGAGGAACACCGGUGGCGAAGGCGGUUCUCUGGGCAUUACCUGACGCUGAGGAGCGAAAGCAUGGGGAGCGAACAGG